rnacentral:rRNA from 1 species
AGAGUUUGAUCCUGGCUCAGAGCGAACGCUGGCGGCGCGCCUAAUACAUGCAAGUCGAGCGAGAAGACGUAGCAAUACGUUUGUAAAGCGGCGAACGGGUGAGGAAUACAUGGGUAACCUACCCUCGAGUGGGGAAUAACUAACCGAAAGGUUAGCUAAUACCGCAUACGACUCCUGGUCUGCGGAUCGGGAGGGAAAGCGAUACCGUGGGUAUCGCGCUCUUGGAUGGGCUCAUGUCCUAUCAGCUUGUUGGUGAGGUAACGGCUCACCAAGGCUUCGACGGGUAGCUGGUCUGAGAGGACGAUCAGCCACACUGGCACUGCGACACGGGCCAGACUCCUACGGGAGGCAGCAGUAAGGAAUAUUGCGCAAUGGGCGACAGCCUGACGCAGCGACGCCGCGUGGGGGAUGAAGGUCUUCGGAUUAUAAACCCCUUUCGGCAGGGAAGAUGGAACGGGUAACCGUUCGGACGGUACCUGCAGAAACAGCCACGACUAACUUCGUGCCAGCAGCCGCGGUAAUACGAAGGUGGCAAGCGUUGUUCGGAUUUACUGGGCGUACAGGGAGCGUAGGCGGUUGGGUAAGCCCUCCGUGAAAUCUCCGGGCCUAACCCGGAAAGUGCGGAGGGGACUGCUCGGCUAGAGGAUGGGAGAGGAGCGCGGAAUUCCCGGUGUAGCGGUGAAAUGCGUAGAGAUCGGGAGGAAGGCCGGUGGCGAAGGCGGCGCUCUGGAACAUUUCUGACGCUGAGGCUCGAAAGCGUGGGGAGCAAACAGGAUUAGAUACCCUGGUAGUCCACGCCU